rnacentral:rRNA from 1 species
CUUGGUCAUUUAGAGGAAGUAAAAGUCGUAACAAGGUCUCCGUUGGUGAACCAGCGGAGGGAUCAUUACCGAGUUAUUACUCCAAACCCUUUGUGAACCUUACCAUUUUGUUGCUCGGCGCACCGCGGGCCGCGGCUUCGGCCCGUCCCGCAGCGCGCCAGAGGACCCAACUCUUCAAUUUAUAGCGUACCUUCUGAUUUACAAAACAAACAAGUUAAAACUUUCAACAACGGAUCUCUUGGUUCUGGCAUCGAUGAAGAACGCAGCGAAAUGCGAUAAGUAAUGUGAAUUGCAAAAUUCAGUGAAUCAUCGAAUCUUUGAACGCACAUUGCGCCCGGCAGUAAUCUGCCGGGCAAGCCUGUCCGAGCGUCAUUUCACCCCUCGAGCCGCUUUUAGUGGAUCGGUGUUGGGGCACUACGGUAAAACGUAGGCCCCGAAAUGAAGUGGCGGUCCCGCCGCGGUGCCCCCAUGCGUAGUAACGUUUAGUCUCGCAUCGGGUCCCGGCGGAGGCCUGCCGUCAAGCCUUUUAUUCUCAGAAUAGUUUGACCUCGGAUCAGGUAGGGUUACCCGCUGAACUUAAGCAUAUCAAUAAGCGGAGGA